GACGUAGGUGGCAAGCGUUGUCCGGAAUUACUGGGUGUAAAGGGUGCGUAGGCGGUUUGACAAGUCAGAUGUAAAAAUUCCAUGCUCAACGUGGUCAUGCAUUUGAAACUGUCGAACUCGAGUAGAUCAGAGGCAGGCGGAAUUCCCAGUGUAGCGGUGGAAUGCGUAGAUAUUGGGAGGAACACCAGUGGCGAAGGCGGCCUGCUGGGGUCUAACUGACGCUGAGGCACGAAAGCGUGGGGAGCAAACAGG
rnacentral:rRNA from 1 species